rnacentral:rRNA from 1 species
UACAGAGGUGGCAAGCGUUGUUCGGAAUUACUGGGCGUAAAGGGCGCGUAGGCGGCCAUCUAAGUCAGACGUGAAAUCCCCCGGCUUAACCUGGGAACUGCGUCCGAUACUGCUGGACUUGAGGGCAGUAGAGGGUGGUGGAAUUCCGGGUGUAGUGGUGAAAUGCGUAGAUAUCCGGAGGAACACCAGUGGCGAAAGCGGCCACCUGGACUGUACCUGACGCUAACACGCGAAAGCUAGGGGAGCGAACGGG